rnacentral:rRNA from 1 species
UACGGAGGAUCCGAGCGUUAUCCGGAUUUAUUGGGUUUAAAGGGUGCGCAGGCGGAAGAUUAAGUCGGCGGUGAAAUUUUGCAGCUCAACUGUAAAAGUGCCAUCGAUACUGGUUUUCUUGAGUGUGGAUGAAGUAGGCGGAAUUUGUGGUGUAGCGGUGAAAUGCUUAGAUAUCACGAGGAACUCCGAUUGCGCAGGCAGCUUACUAAACCACUACUGACGCUCAUGCACGAAGGCGUGGGGAUCAAACAGGAUUAGAUA